CGUAUGCCAGGUUAUAAAUUUAAUGUA
rnacentral:tRNA from 1 species